UCAACAGAGAUUGCCUCAGUAACGGCGAGUGAACCGGCAUGAGCUCAAAUUUGAAAUCGGGCGUCCAUUGGCAUCCGAGUUGUAUUUUGGAGAGGGUGCUUUGUGGCACAGCGGGCAGACUGCARGUUCUUUGGAACAAGACACCACAGAGGGUGAGAGUCCCGUACCGGUCUGUUGUCUGUGUGCGUAUAUAGCCCCUUCAACGAGUCGAGUUGCUUGGGAAUGCAGCUUCAAUUGGGAGGUAAAUUUCUUCUAAAGCUAAAUAUCAGCCAGAGACCGAUAGCGCACAAGUAGAAUGAUCGAAAGAUGAAAAGCACUUUGGAAAGAAAGUCAAACAGUACGUGAAAUUGCCAAAAGGGAAGCACAUGUGACUAGAAUCGCAGGCGUUGCUUUAGUGGUAUUUGUUAUUGCCGCUGUCAACAGCGUCGGUGGGCCAGCGUCAGCUGUGAUGGCACAAUUAAGGCCGGGCCAAUGUAGCUUAGCUUUCGGGGUAAGCGUUAUAGGGCCCGGCGCCAGUGUGCCGUACUCGGCUGAGGAACGCAUCUAUAUGGAUGCUGGCGUAAUGGUCACCUGUGGCCCGUCUUGAAACACGGACCAAGGAGUCUAACGUUUGCGCGAGUAUUUGAGUGUCAAGCUCGCAUGCUUAAUGAAAGUGAAUACAGAUGGGAACGGUGCCUCGUGUGCCGCGCACCAUUGGCCAAUUUAAGUGUUUACACUUAGUUUUGAGCAAGAGCGCAACUGUUGGGACCCGAAAGAUGGUGAACUAUGCCUGUGUAGGCUGAAGUCAGGGGAAACUCUGAUGGAGGGCCGCAGCGGUUCUGACGUGCAAAUCGAUCGUCAAACAUGGGUAUAGGGGCGAAAGACUAAUCGA
rnacentral:rRNA from 1 species